rnacentral:rRNA from 1 species
GACAGAGGUCCCGAGCGUUAGGCGGAAUCACUGGGCUUAAAGCGUGUGUAGGCGGAUCGUUAAGUGCCUUGUGAAAUCCCUCGGCUUAACCGGGGAACUGCGUCUGAUACUGGAUGGCUUGAGUUCGGGAGAGGGAUGCGGAAUUCCAGGUGUAGCGGUGAAAUGCGUAGAUAUCUGGAGGAACACCGGUGGCGAAGGCGGCAUCCUGGACCGACACUGACGCUGAGGAGCGAAAGCCAGGGGAGCAAACGGG